rnacentral:lncRNA from 1 species
CCGAUCCCCGACUCUCUGGCGUUGGAUUUGGAAGAUAUAAAAGAACAGGGCAACAGUAGCCUCCACCUCCAGAUACCGACAAAGGAUCUGAUAGGCCCGGAUAAACGCCAAUGAAUUUGGAUGAAGCUGUGAAGGAGCCACUCUUAGCCGACCAAAAAUCCCGGCUUCAAGAUCGUUGAAGGGCAGCCGAAAUCCCAGCUCUUUGAACGCCAUCUCGUACAUAGUAAAACUACAUCCUGCGUACGACGAACAGACCCGCUCCCCUUCGGCGGGCAUGUGAACCUCCCAGUUCUCCGAACCAGCUUCCUCGACGAUGGUAAAAAGCCGCGGAUCCUGCGCGGUAAUCGUUGAAGCAAUCCCCCGGGGCUCGGGCGCAACCCAAGCCAGCUCUGGGUCAGUAAUAGUGUCGACCAACUUGUGCUUCGACGUAGCUUGGCUCCCCGUUACUUCCUCCACAUCGGACAUUUUGAGUACCUGAAAAGCAGCGAAAAUAAAGUGAAUUCGACAGUAAUCAAAUCCACCCUUUCACCGCAAAUCAAGUGAAAGGGCGUAAGUUAGGACGAGGACGCUGUCCCNNNNNNNNNNNNNNNNNNNNNNNNNNNCAAAAGCCCUUAUCAAAAUGGCAAACAAAACAGAGAAACCGGGGAAAACCACUUAACAAAGCCUAAAAACGGGGAGAAGGUCCCCGACACAAGACAUGGCUCGACACUUGAAAGCAAAUUCAGUUUUGCAUAAAAACUUCAAGUUAAAAACGGGGAGAAGCUCCCCGACACAGAGUUUCUACAAACUCACGUAUCUACCAAAUUUCCCAUCGAAAUAGCGGGGAGAAGGUCCCCAAAAACGGGGAGAGGCUCCCCGACAAAGAGUUCCUACAAACUCAUUUACCUACAGAAAUUUCUCAGCGAAAUAACGGGGAGAAGGUCCCCGACACAGAGUUUUUACAAACUCAUUUUUCUCAAAAGAAAAAGCGGGGAGAAGGUCCCCGACAUUCAUACAAUUCAUAAAGACGCUCAAAAUAUUCGCGAAGGCGAAAACGGGGAGAAGGUCCCCGACACAAGGGUCAACUAACCUAGUUUUUUGCUACAAUAAACGGGGAGAGGAAACAACACUCUCCUCCCCGACAUAAAACCCAGAAUUCCCAGAAAUUCAAACUACUCAUGGUGUUCUUUGCAGAACCCAGAAGAUUCAUCUUCAUAUUCAUCACUUUUGCCCAGAAAUGCAUGAAUGUUCAUCAACAUUCAAACGAUUUUUCCAGAAACCCAUAUGUUCUUCAUUUUUCCAGAAAAUGGCAAAAGUGUAGCAAAGGCACAAUAACUAAAGUGCUAAAACACACAAAUCUAGUACCAUCAAACACCAAAUCCCAUUAAGGGAAACGCUUAAAAUCAAUAGCACAAUGAAUGGGUCAUCAAAAACCCAGGUAUCUAAACGCAAAGUUACAACAACCAAAACGUACUUAAUAUCUCAUACAACUGGCUUGAAACACAGAACACCAAC